UCCCCAACUGCUCCCCUCCUCUUUUCCCCACCUAAUCCCCACCAGAUCAAGACUAACCCUAGCAGACCUCCCUUCUUCCUCCAGGGCCGCCACUCCGUUCCCUAUCCCCUUUCUUCUUUUCCCUCGCCAAGAACAGCGGAGGGUUAAAAAGUUUCAGUUAAAGUUGAGAAAAUUCUUGAGAUAGCCACCGUGAAAUUCCUCGCCGGAGUUGGUCCGUGUCAUCCCAUGGCGUCGCCGUUCGCCACACCAAACGCGGAGAUGGAACCGUCGUGGCGCCCUCUUCCUCCUCGCUAGCUUCCCGGAGCUGGAGCUGAUCAAGUUCUUUUGUCACCGUCGACCAUGUCUUCGUCCAGGAGUUUGACGUCUUCCGUGGCCUCGUCUCCGCCUUUCCCCGAGCCUCGUCGACGACUCCAACGUCUCCCGAUCCUCUCCAAAUUGCAGCCGUGCCCGACCUGGAGCGUUUCCGUCGCGAUCAUCGACAACCUCGUCCUGGUUUGCGCCGUUCACAGCUUUCCAAGUCCGACGAUUUGCCAACCACCCCGCACAUUUGCUUCUUCCCGGAUAGGAUCACGAAUUGGUGAUGUGAGAUACGAC